UACGGGGGGGGGCAAGCGUUGUUCGGAAUUACUGGGCGUAAAGGGCGCGUAGGCGGCCUUCUAAGUCGGACGUGAAAUCCCUCGGCUUAACCGAGGAACUGCGUCCGAGACUGAAAGGCUUGAAUCCGGGAGAGGGAUGUGGAAUUCCAGGUGUAGCGGUGAAAUGCGUAGAUAUCUGGAGGAACACCGGUGGCGAAGGCGGCAUCCUGGACCGGCAUUGACGCUGAGGCGCGAAAGCUAGGGGAGCAAACGGG
rnacentral:rRNA from 1 species